rnacentral:misc_RNA from 1 species
GUACCCUCAAGCUGUGCUUGGUGUUGGGUGUUUGUCCACUAUCAUGGACUCACCUUAAAGUCAUUGGCAGCCAGUGUUUUGGUAUUGAAGCGCAGCACAUUUUGCGCCUCUAGCCUAGAACACUAGCGUCCAGUAAGCCUUUUUCCAC